rnacentral:rRNA from 1 species
GACGAACGCUGGCGGCGUGCUUAACACAUGCAAGUCGAGCGGUAAGGCCCUUUCGGGGGUACACGAGCGGCGAACGGGUGAGUAACACGUGGGUGACCUGCCCUUAGCUCUGGGAUAAGCCUGGGAAACUGGGUCUAAUACCGGAUAUGACCUCAUGACUCAUGUUGUGGGGUGGAAAGCCUUGUGCGGCUAGGGAUGGGCCCGCGGCCUAUCAGCUUGUUGGUGGGGUAAUUGCCUACCAAGGCGACGACGGGUAGCCGGCCUGAGAGGGCGACCGGCCACACUGGGACUGAGACACGGCCCAGACUCCUACGGGAGGCAGCAGUGGGGAAUCUUGCGCAAUGGGCGAAAGCCUGACGCAGCGACGCCGCGUGAGGGAUGACCGG